rnacentral:rRNA from 1 species
ACGAACGCUGGCGGCAUGCCUAACACAUGCAAGUCGAACGAGACCUUCGGGUCUAGUGGCGCACGGGUGCGUCACGCGUGGGAACCUGCCCUUAGGUUCGGAAUAACUCCCCGAAAGGGGUGCUAAUACCGGAUAAUGUCUUCGGACCAAAGAUUUAUCGCCUUUGGAUGGGCCCGCGUUGGAUUAGCUAGUUGGUAGGGUAAAAGCCUACCAAGGCGACGAUCCAUAGCUGGUCUGAGAGGAUGAUCAGCCACACUGGGACUGAGACACGGCCCAGACUCCUACGGGAGGCAGCAGUGGGGAAUAUUGGACAAUGGGCGAAAGCCUGAUCCAGCAAUGCCGCGGGAGUGAUGAAGGCCUUAGGGUUGUAAAGCUCUUUUACCCGGGAUGAUAAUGACAGUACCGGGAGAAUAAGCUCCGGCUAACUCCGUG